rnacentral:rRNA from 1 species
UGCUUGGGGAUCUGCCCUAGAGUGGAGGAUAACUAUUGGAAACGAUAGCUAAUACUGCAUAGUAUCUUCGGAUUAAAGUGGGCUUCGGCUCACGCUUUAGGAUGAACCCAAGUGGGAUUAGCUAGUUGGUAAGGUAAUGGCUUACCAAGGCGACGAUCCCUAGCUGGUCUGAGAGGAUGAUCAGCCACACUGGAACUGAGACACGGUCCAGACUCCUACGGGAGGCAGCAGUGGGGAAUAUUGCACAAUGGGGGAAACCCUGAUGCAGCCAUGCCGCGUGUGUGAAGAAGGCUUUCGGGU